CAAUAGCGUAUAUUUAAGUUGUUGCAGUUAAAAGCUCGUAGUUGGAUUUCGGAUGGGAUUUGCCGGUCCGUCGUUACGAUGUGCACUGGCCAGUCCUAUCUUGUUGUCGGGGACUAGCUCCUUGGAUUCACUUCCUGGGACUAGGAGCUGACGAGGUUACUUUGAGUAAAUUAGAGUGUUCAAAGCAAGCCUACGCUCUGAAUACAUUAGCAUGGAAUAACACGAUAGGACUCUGGCUUAUCUUGUUGGUCUGUGAGACCAGAGUAAUGAUUAAGAGGGACAGUCGGGGACAUUCGUAUUUCAUUGUCAGAGGUGAAAUUCUUGGAUUUAUGAAAGACGAACUUCUGCGAAAGCAUUUGUCAAGGAUGUUUUCAUUAA
rnacentral:rRNA from 1 species